GGACUGGACGCGCUUGGGGAGCCUAGUUUUUUUUUUUUAAGGGUGCGCGACUGACUGAUGAAUCUCGUCGCUGCCUUCCCCAGCAUGCGCGGGCACCCGGGAAGCCUCGGCUGCGGGCUCGGGUUCUAGGGAUGAUCUUGGUGGCACGCUCCGUGCUCCGGUGGCAGCUUCGGCCGGGAUCGCGCGCCUCGUCCCGCGCCGCCAUGGAGGUGGCCUUCCGCGGCGUGCGCAAGAUCCUCUGCGUCGCCGAGAAGAACGACGCGGCCAAAGGGAUCGCCGACCUGCUGUCCGGCGGACGCAUGCGGCGGAGAGAAGGACUUUCUAAAUUCAACAAGAUUUAUGAAUUUGAUUAUCAUCUCUAUGGCCAGAAUGUUACCAUGAUAAUGACUUCCGUUUCUGGACAUUUGCUGGCUCAUGAUUUCCAGAUGCAGUAUCGGAAAUGGCAGAGCUGCAAUCCCCUCAUACUCUUUGAAGCAGAUAUUGAAAAGUAUUGCCCAGAGAAUUAUGUAGACAUCAAGAAAACUCUGGAACGAGAAACAAGGCAAUGCCAGGCCUUGGUCAUCUGGACUGACUGUGACAGAGAAGGGGAAAAUAUUGGUUUUGAGAUUAUCCAUGUUUGUAAGGCUGUGAAGCCCAGUCUACAUGUGUUGAGAGCCCGUUUUUCUGAAAUCACCCCCGGAGCUGUCAGGACAGCCUGUGAGAACCUCACUGAGCCUGACCAAAGAGUGAGUGAUGCUGUGGACGUGAGGCAGGAGCUGGACCUUCGAAUCGGAGCUGCUUUCACUCGGUUCCAGACCCUGAGGCUACAGAGGAUUUUUCCUGAGGUGUUAGCAGAACAGCUGAUUAGUUAUGGCAGUUGCCAGUUUCCAACUCUAGGAUUUGUGGUAGAACGUUUCAAAGCCAUUCAGGCUUUUGUGCCAGAAACCUUCUACAGAAUUAAAGUAACUCACAACCACAGAGAUGGCACUGUAGAAUUCAACUGGAAAAGAUAUCGUCUCUUUAACCACACAGCUUGUCUUGUCCUCUAUCAAUUGUGUAUGGAGGAUCCCAGGGCGACUGUGGUGGAUGUGAGAUCCAAGCCCAAAAGCAAAUGGAGACCUCAAGCUUUGGACACUGUGGAACUUGAGAAGCUAGCUUCUCGAAAGUUGAGAAUAAAUGCAAAAGAAACCAUGAAGAUUGCUGAGAAACUUUACACCCAAGGGUACAUCAGCUAUCCCCGAACUGAAACAAACAUUUUCCCCAAAGACUUAAACUUGGCAGUGCUGGUGGAGCAGCAGACCCCAGAUCCACGCUGGGGGGCCUUUGCUCAGCGUAUUCUAGAGCAAGGUGGUCCCAACCCACGCAAUGGGAACAAGUCUGACCAAGCUCACCCCCCAAUCCACCCCACCAAAUAUGCCAACAACCUGCAGGGUGAUGAACAGCGGCUCUAUGAGUUUAUUGUUCGCCAUUUCUUGGCUUGCUGCUCCCAGGAUGCUCAGGGGCAGGAGACUACUGUUGAGAUAGACAUUGCUCAGGAACGCUUCAUAGCCCAUGGUCUCAUGAUUCUGGCCCGGAACUAUCUAGAUGUCUACCCAUAUGAUCACUGGAGUGACAAGACCCUCCCUGUCUAUGAGAGAGGUUCCUGCUUUCAGCCCAGCACUGUGGAGAUGGUGGAUGGGGAGACCAGUCCCCCGCAGCUGCUCACUGAAGCGGAUCUCAUUGCCCUCAUGGAAAAGCAUGGCAUUGGUACUGAUGCCACUCAUGCCGAGCACAUUGAGACCAUCAAAGCCCGGAUGUAUGUUGGGCUCACCCCAGAAAAGCGAUUUCUCCCAGGACACCUGGGCAUGGGACUUGUGGAAGGUUAUGAUUCUAUGGGCUAUGAGAUGUCCAAGCCUGACCUUCGGGCUGAGCUGGAAGCUGAUCUGAAACUCAUCUGUGAGGGGAAGAAGGACAAAGUUGUGGUCCUAAGGCAGCAGGUCCAAAAAUACAAGCAAGUUUUCAUUGAAGCAGUGGCGAAAGCAAAAAAAUUGGACGAAGCUCUGUCUCAGUACUUUGGAAAUGGGGUGGAGGUGGCCCCGCAAGAAGUCUUCUACCCAGCAAUGCCAGAACCCAUCAGGAAGUGCCCACAGUGUGGCAAGGACAUGGUCCUCAAGACCAAGAAGAACGGAGGAUUCUAUGUUGGCUGUGUGGGUUUCCCAGAGUGUCGCUCGGCUGUGUGGUUCCCUGACUCCGUGCUGGAGGUCAGCCGGGAUGAGAGCAUAUGUUCGGUCUGUCAGCCACCUCCUGUGCACAGGUUGAAGUUCAAGUUUAAACGCGGUAGCCUUCCCCCCACCAUGCCUCUAGAAUUUGUUGGCUGCAUUGGUGGAUGUGACGAGAGCUUGAGGGAGAUUUUGGACCUAAGGUUUUUACGGCCCUCACUUCAAGCCAGCCAGCCGGCCAGCCAGCCCUCUGGAUAUUUGCAGGCCAGCCAGUCUCUGAACAGGAUGGGCAGCAGCCAGCACAGGCUCUCACAGGCUCCUGAUACCAGCCAUGUCAGGGCCUCAAUGGCUCCAUCCCAGACACUCACAGUGCCCACUGGUGAGAGCAACUCUGUGACUUGCAACUGCGGCCAGGAGGCCUUGCUGCUCACCGUGCGAAAGGAGGGACCCAACCAGGGCCGCCAGUUCUACAAGUGUCACAGUGGCACCUGCAGCUUCUUCCUAUGGGCUGACAGUAGCCAGCCAGGAGCCAGAGGACUUUCUACCUCAGCAGCGAGACCCAUGGGGGGCUCCCUGGCACACUUGCCGAAUUCAGGAAACCCCCAGACAGGAAAACCCCAAAGGAGCCUUGGCAGCCCAACUGAUAACAGCGGUGCAUCCUGUCUGUGCAGCCAACCAGCCAUCACCCGGACUGUCCAGAAGGAGGGACCCAAUAAGGGGCGACAAUUCCACACGUGCGCCAAACCACGAGAGCAGCAGUGUGGCUUCUUUCAGUGGGCAGAUGAGAAUAUGGCCCCAGAGACUUUAGGAACCCUGCCCUGGCCAGGAGGCAGAGGAAAGACUCAAGGAUCAGAUACCAGAAACAAGAGAACCCGCACCACUACUUCAGAAGUGGGGUCCAUGGCCAAGAAACCUCGGAAAUGCAGCCUUUGCCACCAGCCUGGACAUACCCGUCCCUUUUGUCCACAGAACCGAUGAAGGCAAGGGAGAGUGACCAGAUGUCUCAGGCCUGCCUGUCAUCUGUGUCUUCUGCUGGGACCCAAUAGCCCUUCGCAGGACUCUGAAAAAUGUGGCUGGUCUGGAAGCUGCAUGCGCGUACUUUGGAGUCACAAUGUCUGUCACUCCUUGACAAGGUCACUUCUGCCUGGGCUUCAGAGUCACAUACUCACCCGCUCAACCUGUGGCAGAGACUGGGAGCUGGUGCAUCCUGUGGUUGCUUUCUCCACCUCCUGCAAACCUCUAGGCAGUGUGGAGGUGGCCUCUCCCUGUCUGAGAAGGCUUGUGGCUUUGUUCCAGUCAUAUUCACAGAAGCAUCCACUGUGCCUUAAUAAAUCUUGCUCCUCCUUUACUUGGGCACUGUGUAAGUAACCACUGGUGGGGGUUAUAACUGGAUGCUAGCGGGAUGCCCUGCCAGCCUGGCCACCCACACAGCAGUGAGCCUGGCCCUCCACCCAUGAUCUUAUGCCACACUUUGCUGAUCAGCCUGUUUACCUGCACAAAAACCUUGUGAUUACAGGAAUUUUUUGUUUAGAAGAUCAGCAGAAAUAGGGCAUGUGGAUGCCCUGUUCUUCACCAGUCGAAGAAAUGUCCUCUUCUCUUGAGGCUCCUGGGCCCCACUUUUCAGUAAGAAUAGCUCUGCCCAUGCUGGAUGACUUACUGCCUGGACCUGCUCUGUGAGCAGCUGAUCAGUGGGUGUGGUCAGACAGAGCCUUGCUGUUGUGCUUUGUGUCUUCCCCUUUCCCAGCCUUGUUUCCUCUGGGAUUUAUGUUUUCUUUUGGUUCAGAGCCAAAUGUGCCAGGAAUCAAAUCAAGAUUGGCUGGGUAUAAGGCAGUUGUCUUACCUAUUGUACUAUGCCUGGUCCCCAAAGAAGUCGGAAUUCCAUAUUUUAAAAUCUA